GCACCCACUAUACUGACCAUCCUGACCCUCCUAGAAGGUACAACAUACCACAGCACCCACUAUACUGACCAUCCUGACCCUCCUAGAAGGUACAACAUACCACAGCACCCACUAUACUGACCAUCCUGACCCUCCUAGAAGGUACAACAUACCACAGCACCCACUAUACUGACCCUCCUAGAAGGUACACCAUACCACAGCACCCACUAUACUGACCCUCCUAGAAGGUACAACAUACCACAGCACACACUAUACUGACCCUCCUAGAAGGUACAACAUACCACAGCACCCACUAUACUGACCCUCCUAGAAGGUACAACAUACCACAGCACACACUAUACUGACCCUCCUAGAAGGUACACCAUACCACAGCACCCACUAUAACUGACCCUCCUAGAAGGUACAACAUACCACAGCACCCAAUAUAACUGACCAUCCACUAUACUGACCCUCCUAGAAGGUACAACAUACCACAGCACCCACUAUACUGACCAUCCUGACCCUCCUAGAAGGUACAACAUACCACAGCACCCGCUAUAACUGACCACCCACCAUCCUGACCCUCCUAGAAGGUACAACAUACCACAGCACCCACUAUACUGACCAUCCUGACCCUCCUAGAAGGUACAACAUACCACAGCACCCACUAUAACUGACCACCCACCAUCCUG
ensembl:lncRNA